UCAUCUCAGAGAGGCCAUCCGACGCUGCUGCUCUCCCUUCCGAUCCAUUUGGAGACCUAAAAUCGUCUCAGAGAGGCCAUCCGACGCUGCUGCUCUCCUUUCUGAUCCACUUGGAGACCCAAAAUCGUCUCAGAGAGGCCAUCCGACGCUGCCGACGCUGCUUCUCUCCCCACCCUUCAGUGCUUUGGUCAAAGGUUAGCUGCCAGGCGCAAACCGACCUCAUCUCGAGACAAAAACAGGUACGCUCCUUCAUUUUUUUUGAAUUUUUUCGAUGUACAUUGAAAAUAACUUGGUAUUUUCAAUUUUUUCCUCAUUUUUUUCCCUUUUAAAACACUAGUUACCGUCGGUUUAUUAUUCUUUAUACCUUUUUUUUUUUUUCUGUGGUAUGGCCCACGUGGGCCCCACUGAGGUGCGUGAAGGGGUGGGAUGUGCAUUAUUUUCUAUGGUGUGGCCCACGUGGGGCCCACUGAGGUGCGUGAAGGGGUGGGAUGUGCAUUAUUUUCUAUGGUGUGGCCCACGUGGGGCCCACUGAGGUGCGUGAAGGGGUGGAUUUGCAUUAUUUUCUAUGGUGGGCCCACUGUGGUGUCCGUAUGAGUGUAA